rnacentral:tRNA from 2 species
GGGAUAUAGCACAGUUGGUAGCGCGAUACGUUCGCAACGUAUAGGUCAGGGGUUCGAGUCCCCUUAUCUCC